GACGAACGCUGGCGGCGUGCUUAACACAUGCAAGUCGAACGGAAAGGCCCUGCUUUUGUGGGGUGCUCGAGUGGCGAACGCGUGAGUAACACGUGUGUAACCUGCUCUUGACUUUGGGAUAACUUCAGGAAACUGGGGCUACUACCGUAUAGGAGCUCCUGCUGCAUUGUGGGGGUUGGAACGUCUCGGCGGUUGGGGAUGGACGCGCGGCUUAUCAGCUUGUUGGUGGGGUAGUGGCUGACCAAGGCUUUGACGGGUAGCCGGCCUGAGAGGGUGACCGGCCACAUUGGGACUGAGGUAGGCACCAGACUCCUACGGGGGGCAGCAGUGGGGAAUAUUGCACAAUGAGCGGGCGCCUGAUGCAGAAACGCCGCGUGCGGGAUGACGGCCUUCGGGGUGAAAAACGCUGUCGCCUGUGACGAAGCGGGAGUGACGGUAAUCAGUAAAGAAGCACCGGCUAACUACGUG
rnacentral:rRNA from 1 species